UCUAAAAACUGAGGUGCUCACUCCCUCUCUCUCCUUUUUGAUGAUUGUGAUAUUUAGACCUGCCAAAGCAGUAUAACUUCAUUGUCUGGAAUUUGGUUAAUUCCAAUGCAAAUACAAAAAUCAAAUACGUGAACUGAGCUUUGAAAAUAUUUUCAUUUUUGAGGAUUUUCAUUGUUACGGGAUUGAGCCUGUAGAAGUCUCUGUGUAAGCUCUGUGUAAGCAAAUCUAAUCUAUUCACACUGAAGUCAGGGCUCUAUAAAAGACUGUGGGAACAUUCAUUCUCCACUCUCUCAGAGACUCUUUUAGGUGGCACUGGCUGAGGCAAAAUGAAUACAGCUGCUGAUUCUGAUCUCACACUGGGUAUAUCCCUGAGUGCUGGAAAAAACAUCACCCUCAGAAGUGUGCAUUCAGCCAGCUGCCUUUGGAGAGAGCUGGGAAGGGUGCAAAGUGGCAUGUCCUUUACCAGUCACUCUUUCUGGGCCAAUGCUUAUCCAGAAAUGAGACAGAACUAUGAGUUUACUGCAAACGACCAGCAUCAGCAAAGUGAUCAAGGCUACCAACUUUGGGUAAUGUGUCCCACAUCUCAGAUGUCAAUUGAUAUAAGAAUUACAGUAAAGAAUUAUGAGUGUUCACUCUGCAAUGAAAAAAUGAAGCAGCAGAAGGUGAAUGUGAAAGACUAAGAAGAGCCCUGCAGAAAACCCGUUAGCCCAUGUUUUCAUCUGUAAUAUGGAUGUGGGAUGGGAAGAGGGAUAAUGACAUAGUACCGACCAGGUUCCAGAAACUAUUCCAAGUGCUUUACAUGAUAAAAAUCUCUUAAUUGUCUCAACAACCAUAUGAAGUAUAUCUCUAGUGUUGCCCCUAUUUUAUAGAUGACAAAACGUUACUGAUAUCUGUAUAGCUAGUAAGCAGGAGAGACAGGAUUCAAUCUGUCAGCCCAACUCUGGCGGUGCCCGUGUCCCCGCUCUGUGAUCCUGACAGGCAGCCACAGCCAGGAGUCCUUGUUUUACAUAUUUCCCGUGUCUGCUGCUGAACUAGACCCUAACAGUGGAUUCUUGGUACAUCCUUACCCAAAGAUAACCCAUAAGUUUUCAUGACAUUACCACGGACUCGUCUUGCUUGUGAAACCAAGUAAUGGUACAAACAAAAGAAUCAUGUGUUAAGAAUUUUUUGAAGUAAAUGAUUCUGUCAUCAUUAUUCUUAAAGAAAGUGAUGUGCCCAAGGUCACACACUUAGUCACUGGUCAGUCCUGGGGCAAACACCCCUUGAUGUCCAGCCCUUGAGUCAGGAUGAUUGCUUCAUCUAGAAGGUACCAUGGACACUCUGCUUGAAUCCAGGAACCUCUGGAGUUGUAUAUGGCUCUGCCCAAGACAAAGGAAUCUGCUGUCCCAGAUCCACAGAAGCCCUGGCUCUAAAUUAAAAACAGCACAACAACAACAUUGCAGCAACAACAAAAUAGUAAUAAAAUAAAAGGUGGGAAGACCUCGAGAGCAUAAAAAUUUCCUUAAACUGAUCAUCAGAGAAAGGAAAGGGAGGAUUCCUUCUUUAAAGAGGCAAGUGCCUGCCAGCAGGAACCUAAAACUCAUUAUUAUUCUGUAUUUUAUUUUUUCAUGACUAAAAAGUUUUUCUAUCCUCCCCCUUCCUGUCCCUAUCAAAAGGCUACCCCCUCCACAAGACAAUCACAAACUUUAAAAGUAGCAAGCCCUCACUUCAAACAAAAUGUAAAAAUAAAAAUUCAA